rnacentral:rRNA from 1 species
AUACAUGCAAGUCGGGCGGAGGCAGCAAUGCCGAGCGGCGAACGGGUGAGUAACGCGUAAGCAAUCUGCCCCAUAUCAGGAAAUACCCGUGCCAACGCGCGGUUAAUGUCCAGGAGAGUGGCCCCUGCAUGGGGGGUUGACUAGAGAUUUAUCGGUAUGGGAUGAGCUUGCGUCCGAUUAGCUAGUUGGCGGGGCAACGGCCCACCAAGGCGACGAUCGGUAGCCGGCCUGAGAGGGUGAUCGGCCACAUUGGGACUGAGAUACGGCCCAGACUCCUACGGGAGGCAGCAGUAGGGAAUAUUGCACAAUGGGGGAAACCCUGAUGCAGCAACGCCCACGUGUGGGAAGAAGCAUUUCGGUGUGUAAACCACUGUCAUGAGGGAAUAAGGCCCGUUUUCGGACGGGAUUGAAUGUACCUUGAGAGGAAGCACCGGCAAACUUCGUGCCAGCCGCCGC